GAGCCAGCAGGGCUUAUGAAAAGGGAAAUGACUCAUCGGCACGUGCAUAUUUAUGGAAGAAAGCCCCAGGCUGUUGAAUGGGGCUAACUCCGCACGGAAGGGUGCACAAGAUCGCAGUUAAAAUACUGUACAGAAAAUGAAAAGGGGAAACCUCGGCCAGUUUUACAAAGCGUAAGGAUUUCCAGUAGCUAAAGAGGGACGAAGCGGAAAAAUUCUAAAAAGAUGUGUCAGAAGUGGGAUUUGAACCCACGCCUCCAUUGGGAGACCAGAACACCCAGGAAAGGGAAAGAUUGACUCGUAGGACACUGGAGACAUAGGGACCCUGCUUCCAAAAAAGUAAAGGGUCUAAGAUCCCCCGAGACCCUGGAUGACUACACCCCUAUUCACCUCCAGUGCAGAGACGGGUCAGAAAUACCUACCCCAGCAGAGGCUGAUUUGAAGGAAACAGGACCAGUGCAGUGGAUCAUGCAGUGGGCAGUGUCAUGGCCCUGCCCUAGAAUUUGGAGCCAGAGAAGGAAGAUGGCCCAGCUGAGACCAGAGUUGCUGUGCUUCUGACUGGGGAACUGGACCAGGUCCUGGCAAUAAGCCUGAGGAUGGUGGCUGAUAGCCCACUGAGCUUGGAGCUAGCUGGCAGAGGCUGCAGAACAGAUGCCCACAGGAGCAGAAACAGGAUCCUCAUGAGUAUCUUCCCCCGAGCCUGGGGGAUUGAGUGCCUCUUGUAUCACCACAGCUGCCCAAUGAUGCAGGAGGUCAGUGACGAAAAGCAGCUAUUGUCUUCAGGUCAGAGGAACAGCCCUUUAAGAAUCUACAUCUUUCAAGCAAGGAGGCAGAGCUUAGAAGGGGGGAGGGGGGAGGUAGAGGUUCAUAUAAGGCUUUUGUCUGAGCAAGUUGCUCACAAGGGGUUGUCCACAGUGCUGCAGCAGCUUGC